rnacentral:rRNA from 1 species
GCGGUUAGUGGCGGACUGGUGAGUAACACGUAAGCAACCUGCCUAUUAGAGGGGAACAACAGUUAGAAAUGACUGCUAAUACCGCAUAUGCCUUAGAAUCACAUGGUUCAAAAGGGAAAGGAGCAAUCCGCUGAUAGAUGGGCUUGCGUCUGAUUAGCUAGUUGGUGGGGUAACGGCCUACCAAGGCGACGAUCAGUAGCCGAACUGAGAGGUUGAACGGCCACAUUGGGACUGAGAUACGGCCCAGACUCCUACGGGAGGCAGCAGUCGGGAAUAUUGCGCAAUGGAGGAAACUCUGACGCAGUGACGCCGCGUGCAGGAAGAAGGUUUUCGGAUUGUAAACUGCUUUAGACAGGAAAGAAAAAAGACAGUACCUGUAGAAUAAGCUCCGGCUAACUACGUGCCAGCAGCCGCGGUAAUACGUAGGGAGCGAGCGUUAUCCGGAUUUAUUGGGUGUAAAGGGUGCGUAGACGGGAAGUCAAGUUAGUUGUGAAAUCCCUCGGCUUAACUGAGGAACUGCAACUAAAACUGAUUUUCUUGAGUACUGGAGAGGAAAGUGGAAUUCCUAGUGUAGCGGUGAAAUGCGUAGAUAUUAGGAGGAACACCGGUGGCGAAGGCGACUUUCUGGACAGAAACUGACGUUGAGGCACGAAAGUGUGGGGAGCAAACAGGAUUAGAUACCCUGGUAGUCCACACCGUAAACGAUGGAUACUAGGUGUAGGGGA